rnacentral:lncRNA from 1 species
CAAAGAUCUUACAAGGUUAGAAGCAUAGGACUUUAUGUUAGGCCAUAUUCACCCCAAUCCUGGGCAUGUGUAGCUUGCUAUUUGGUUUUCCUGGCAAGCCUGAGAAGGUGGUGGUUAUACAUAUACACUACCGAGUCUCCAGGUCACACCUAUACCUCUAAGAGCGUGCAUUUUGGAACAUUCAAGAUGAUACAUAGGGUGGCUGGAGAGACAGCUCACUGGUGAAGAACACCUGCUGCUCUUCCAAAGGACUCCAGUUCAUUUCCCAUCACUCACAUCAGCCUAUCAAAAGGGAUCGUGACUGAACACAACCAGGACAUCAGAAUCUCUGGCUCUUGUCUUUUAGACUUCGAAGGAGGAUCAUUACUAUUAUUUACUCUACGCCUGCCCAAGACCUCCCUCAGUUCCUUGUCUGCAGGCCUAAACAUCUGAGCAGAGAAAAUAAAAGCAAAGAGUUCCCUAAAAUGCCACCAUACAGAAGGUUCAGGAAGUAAGAAACCUAAAGGCCUAAUUAUGCCUCUGAGAGAAGUGGUUUGGCAUCUCCAUCCCUGGAGGAAUGAUGUAGCACACACCAAGGCUUUAUGAACAGACAGCUUCCAGCCCAGGUUACAAAGCCUUGGGGACUACAGCAGAAAGCCAGCAUGUCAUAAUCACAAGUGUGACGAAAAUCACUCUCUUCCUGUCUCUGAAUGUGACUCCGUGAGAUGCUCAAGAGGCCCCUGCAAUCAAGCACAUCCCUGGCACCUCUUCAGUGGAAGCUCCUCUGACACCCAUCAAGUUGGUCGUCAUUAAUGCCUUAUUCCCAUCUUCAUUGGCUCCCUGGCUGCACCCUUUGGCUUUAAACUCUCCUAAAGAUGGCUGUCCUGUUAUGAAGGCUGCUUGCUAACUGUUUAAAGUCUGCUCGGAUCUUCUAUUAUGGGCAUUCUGUCCUGUCAACUCAUCUGAUGUCAACCAGCAUGAACCACGUUACUAGCUUGCAUUGCCUCUUGGUCACAUAAGCCCCUCGAACUUUUAUCUGUAUAUUGUCCUAGAGAACAUGAGGCACGAAUCCUCUCUUUUCUUUAUCUCCGUGCACAGUUUCCCGAUAGAGAGAAGCAGAGAGCUCAGUGGGUACAGCUGAAUUGUUGAUUUGGAUGAAACUUGAACUUUAAAGGUUGGGGACAAGCAAGGGUAAAUACCCAUCCUGUGAUGCUCUACGGAAUGGGGG